ACGCUAGCUACAGGCUUAACACAUGCAAGUCGAGGGCAGCGGGUUGAAAGCUUGCUUUCAAUGCCGGCGACCGGCGCACGGGUGCGUAACGCGUAUCAAACCUGCCUCAUACUCGGGGAUAGCCUUGCGAAAGUAAGAUUAAUACCCGAUGUUGUUGCUUUCUCGCAUGGGAGAGUAACCAAAGAUUUAUCGGUAUGAGAUGGUGAUGCGUCCGAUUAGGUAGUAGGCGGGGUAACGGCCCACCUAGCCUUCGAUCGGUAGGGGUUCUGAGAGGAAGGUCCCCCACACUGGAACUGAGACACGGUCCAGACUCCUACGGGAGGCAGCAGUGAGGAAUAUUGGUCAAUGGGCGAGAGCCUGAACCAGCCAAGUAGCGUGCAGGAUGACGGCCCUCCGGGUUGUAAACUGCUUUUAGUUGGGAAUAAAAAAAGGGACUUGUCCCUUCUUGUAUGUACCUUCAGAAAAAGGACCGGCUAAUUCCGUGCCAGCAGCCGCGGUAAUACGGAAGGUCCAGGCGUUAUCCGGAUUUAUUGGGUUUAAAGGGAGCGUAGGCGGAUUGUUAAGUCAGCGGUUAAAGGGUGUGGCUCAACCAUGCAUUGCCGUUGAAACUGGCGAUCUUGAGUGCGGACAGGGAUGCCGGAAUUCGUGGUGUAGCGGUGAAAUGCUUAGAUAUCACGAAGAACUCCGAUCGCGAAGGCAGGUGUCCGGGCUGCAACUGACGCUGAGGCUCGAAAGUGUGGGUAUCAAACAGGAUUAGAUACCCUGGUAGUCCACACAGUAAACGAUGUAUACUCGCGGUUUGCGAUAGACAGUAAGCCGCCAAGCGAAAGCAUUAAGUAUACCACCUGGGGAGUACGCCGGCAACGGUGAAACUCAAAGGAAUUGACGGGGGCCCGCACAAGCGGAGGAA
rnacentral:rRNA from 1 species